UACAGAUUUCCAAGUUGCCCUCAAGAA
rnacentral:piRNA from 1 species